rnacentral:lncRNA from 1 species
CCACCACCCCGCGCUCGUUCGUUAAUCGAAGUCAAAGCACCCUGCUCCUUAUAAAUGGGUCACCAAUUGAACCAUUGGUUCAUCAUAAUCUAACAUCGCGACCACCUCUUAACUUAUCCGGUUUGGUUCCAAAAUAAAACAUUCAUUCAGCAGAGCUACAACCACAACCAUAGCACGCAUCCAUUGAGCAGGGUAACUUUUUUUUAAGUUUUUAAUGGGUUCCAACCCAUUGACUUGGUAGCAGCCGUUUCUAACAAUGGUUGCG